GGGCCCGCACAAGCGGUGGAGCAUGUGGUUUAAUUCGAUGAUACGCGAGGAACCUUACCAGGGCUUAAAUGGGAAAUGACAGGGGCAGAGACGCCCCCUUCUUCGGACAUUUUCAAUGGUGCUGCAUGGUUGUCGUCAGCUCGUGCCGUGAGGUGUCAGGUUAAGUCCUAUAACGAGCGCAACCCCUACCGUUAGUUGCCAGCGUGUAAUGACGGGGACUCUAACGGAACUGCCGGUGCAAACCGUGAGGAAGGUGGGGACGACGUCAAAUCAUCACGGCCCUUACGUCCUGGCCACACACGUGCUACAAUGGUACUUACAAUGGGAAGCAAAAGAGGCGACUCCUAGCUAA
rnacentral:rRNA from 1 species